GCGCUGCACGCUGUGCUGUGCUGCCCUGGGGAGAUGUGGCUUUAAGCUGCUGUCCCAGCCCCUUCCCACUCUCAAGAAGGACUGGGCCAAAAGAGAUCUGAUGAGGUUCAACAAGCGUAAGGAUUUUUAUCUCUCUAGGCCGAUCUGAUCAGAAGAUCUCGGGGAGCCUUACAGUUUAUCUCCCGCUGAGUCCCCCUUUUAAGGCCAUCUAUCAGAGCUGACUUUAAUGAACUCCACACACACAAAGCUAUAAAAUAAAACAACAACACUUUAUUUGCUAAGGGGAGAGGAAGGAAUGGAAAGGGGAAUGGAUUAAUGAUUCUGGAGAUUCGGAAUAACACACAGGCACUUAUAAUACAAGAUGUUCUAUCUUUACAGACAUCAGCGAUAAAGGGGUGCAGGAUCCAGAAAAGAGAAGCCAGUAGUGAACACUGACCGUGGACAACAGAUGAAACAGACAGACGAACUAUCGCAAGAAGGUGUGGAUACAACAGUACAUUGAGAGCCGAGAAGGAAGGACUGUGCUGGAGUACUAAUUCUGAACAUGGCACUAGGUCUUUCAUGAACCCAAGGAGCUGAUAUAUUUCCAGAAACCCACCCCAUGGUACAUGCUCAGAUGGGAAGGGCUUGAACCACCCAACUAGAAGCAGAACACAGACAGAUGUUUUCCUCAGGUGCUACCCCAGACGAUACUGCCAGGACCGCAAUUCAUUGUGCAGCUUGUGCUGACGGCGGCCUCACCGUACCCUGCACCACUUGCUGUGUCCCCUCCUGGAUUGCAGCAAACCCUGCAACAGGAUGCCCUUCGUGGUGACAAGCACUCCCAUCAACUGCCCAGAGUGUUAACCCUUUUCCUUGUACUUCUUCCCAGGAUGUUGCUAAGAAGAAUGGAGAUAGUAAGUCUAAAUCAGGAUCUGGCAACGGACAUUCGUGCUCAUCUCCUGCGGUAAUCGGAGCAUAGGGAAGGAUUCUCGUAUGGGGGGGAUCUUCUCAGUACGAAUAUCCCGAUUGACCAGACUUAGAGUCCAUCCCGCCAGCCGGGGAGAGGAUACCCUUCCCUCAUUAAUUCUUCCAGAGAUGACAUAUUUUACUGGAGUAUGGCAUGUCCUCACCACAAUGAGAGCUGUGCCACUUAAAUAUUCCCAAUGUGUUAGGGACCAUACCAGGGCGAAUACCUCACGUUCGCAAGCUGAAAA